rnacentral:rRNA from 1 species
GGCAGGAGCUCAAAUUCGAAAUCUGGGGUCCCCCGACCUCCGAGUUGUAAUUUGGAGAGGCAUCUUCGGGGGGGAGCGCCGGCCCAUGUUCCUUGGAACAGGACGUCGCAGAGGGUGAGAAUCCCGUGCCAGGCCGGCUGCCUCCUCCCGGGUGAAGGGCCUUCGACGAGUCGAGUUGUUUGGGAAUGCAGCUCCAAGUGGGUGGUAAAUUUCAUCUAAAGCUAAAUACCGGCGGGAGACCGAUAGCGCACAAGUAGAGUGAUCGAAAGAUGAAAAGCACUUUGAAAAUAGAGUCAAAAAGUACGUGAAAUUGUUGAAAGGGAAGCGCUUGAGACCAGACUCGGGCCCGGGCGAACAUCGCGCCCCUCGGGGCCGUGCGAUCGCCCGGGCCUGGGCCAGCAUCAGUUGGCGUGGCGGGACAAAGGCGCGGGGAAUGUGGCUCCCCUCGGGGAGUGUUAUUAGGCCCGCGCUCAAUGCCGCCGACGCCGACUGAGGACCGCGCCUCGGCUUGGAUGCUGGCUUAAUGGCCUUCAGCGACCCGUCUUGAAACACGGACCAAGGAGUCUAACAUCUAUGCGAGUGUUUGGGCGUCAAACCCUUGCGCGGAAUGAAAGUGAGCGGAGGUGGAACCCCCCCCUGCGGGGCGCACCAUCGACCGAUCCUGAUGUCUUCGGAUGGAUUUGAGUAGGAGCAUA